CUCUWAUGUUGAUGUGGUUUGACGGUUAUGUGUCAGAUAAAUUGUGCGAUAAUCCCAAGGGAGGGAUCAGAUAUUGGAGAGGAAGAAGUGCUGAGGUUCUGCAGAACCAAUCUGGCGGCCUUCAAAGUUCCAAAGAAGGUGUUCCUCACAGAUUCUGUGCCCAAGACUGCUUCUGGCAAAAUACAACGCCGAAUCGUAGCCGCCCAUUUCCUUGAACAGAAAUCCUGACCACCCAUUAUCUUCACCGCGACUAUUUGCAUUGAAUUCUCAAAUGCGACAAGAUUGCUUGCGUUCACUCCCUCAUUCGAUGGAAAGGCUAACAGAGAGAGAGACUGCGCAUGACGUUGCGGGCUUGGCUUUGCACGACGAUUUCAAACCCUCACUUUGUGUUGGCUAGCUUGCUUGGCGUAGGGGUGCAAAUAGUCGGGUGUCGCCUGAGUGAUCCAUUGUGUGGCUACGGUGGUGUGAGUAGUGAUUUGGUUGGUUGGGUUGACAGGCUAGGUGCUAAGGCAUCGAACUCUCUGCACUGGCUCCUCCUCAUUGGUUCGACAUGCCCCAAUUAAGUAGUUGGUCCCUUUCUAUCAGCACCCUUCGUCAGGUGUGCUUACAUGGAAAACACUCCAAGCUGGAGAAAAACGAUAGUCCACGAAAGAAAAAUUCACUAUAUCAAGAAUUAUUACAAUUACACAAAUUUCUUUCUUGA